rnacentral:rRNA from 1 species
CAGCCGCGGUAAUACGUAGGGUGCAAGCGUUAAUCGGAAUGACUGGGCGUAAAGCGCGCGUAGGCGGCUUUGCAAGUUAGAGGUGAAAGCCCGGGGCUCAACUCCGGAAUUGCCUUUAAAACUGCAUCGCUUGAAUCCGGGAGAGGUGAGUGGAAUUCCGAGUGUAGAGGUGAAAUUCGUAGAUAUUCGGAAGAACACCAGUGGCGAAGGCGGCUCACUGGACCGGUAUUGACGCUGAGGCGCGAAAGCGUGGGGAGCAAAC